CAUGACUUUCAUGUUGACUUUGUUUUAAUUCUUCCUCAAUUACAUGAGACUCCACCGGUUGCCACGUUUUCUAAGGUCAUUACCUGACUGCACACUCUUCCUAUUGACAUUAGGAUGUUACCCACUAAUUAUCGACAUACUGUGCUAGCUCAUCAUUAUGUUGGCAAUGUUCUUAAAUUUCAUGGCAAUUUAAAGGUUAAAUCAUUUCCAAUCAUGAAAUUUUUAAAUUUACUUUCAUGUGCGACAUAAAUUAGAAAGCUCUAUUGAUGAAUACUAUACUUUAUUAUGAAUCUCCUUGAUCCGAUUUUCCAAAAAUGUGAAGAAAAAGUUUUUGCACCACUCGUAUAACGAUUUUUCAUUUGACUGGCCAUCUCACUUAAAUGAAAGUUAUAU
rnacentral:lncRNA from 1 species